CAGUCGCCACGGGAAUACGGAGGGUGCAAGCGUUAAUCGGAAUUACUGGGCGUAAAGCGCACGCAGGCGGUCUGACAAGUCAGAUGUGAAAUCCCCGGGCUUAACCUGGGAACUGCAUUUGAAACUGUUAGGCUGGAGUCUUGUAGAGGGGGGUGGAAUUCCAGGUGUAGCGGUGAAAUGCGUAGAGAUCUGGAGGAAUACCGGUGGCGAAGGCGGCCCCCUGGACAAAGACUGACGCUCAGGUGCGAAAGCGUGGGGAGCAAACAGGAUUAGAUACCCGCGUAGUCCCUGUCUCUUAUAA
rnacentral:rRNA from 1 species